rnacentral:rRNA from 1 species
AUUGAACGCUGGCGGCAGGCCUAACACAUGCAAGUCGAGCGGAGCGGCGGACGGGUGAGUAAUGCCUAGGAAUCUGCCUGGUAUUGGGGGAUAACGUCCGGACACGGGCGCUAAUCCCGCAUACUUUCAGAUGAGCCUAGGUCGGAUUAGCGAGUUGGUGGGGUAAAGGCCUACAAAGGCGACUAUCCGUAACUGGUCUGAGAGGAUGAUCAGUCACACUGGAACUGAGACACGGGCCAGACUCCUACGGGAGGCAGCAGUGGGGAAGCUUGGGCAAUGGGCGAAAGCCUGAUCCAGCCAUGCCGCGUGAGUGAAGAAGGUCUUCGGAUUGUAAAGCACUUUUAGUUGGGAGGCGUUACCAACAGAGAAAGCCACGGCUAACUGCGUGCCAGCCGCCGCGGUAAUAC